rnacentral:lncRNA from 1 species
GUAGGGAUUACAUCUUCCAGAGAAGAAAGGAAGUAGUGGGGAUCUGGGCCUUCCUUGUUGGGUUCUACAGAUGGAAUUACUCAACCAGCUUGUUCUGUUUUAAUUAACCCAGCUAAUAACUUCCCUGCUGGAUUCCCUUGUUCAUAACUUCUUGGUUUCACGUAAUAAUGUGUUUGUUUCUUCCUUUGUGUUCUAAUGAAAUGAUAAUAACCUUCCCUGGCAUUCAUUUCAUCCUUAAUAUCCGGAGAUUUCAUUAAUAUAAACCCUCUUUCCAUCUGCUCUUGCUCCCUUUUAAAGGAAAUAUUUCUGUGUCCUCUUUGCUUGUCUUUUUUGGGGAGGCUCAGCUAAUCUCUUCUUUCCUCUAGAAAGAAUCUUUCUGUAAGGCUUCCCUGGGCUGAUGGGGCUUGGCACAGGCUCCCUCAGCCGCCUCCCUUUCCGGGGCCUCGCUGAGGUCUCUUCGCUGCUACUUCUGGGACAAAGACCACUGCUCACUUGGAGCCUGGAUCUGAGGAACGCAAAGGCAUUAAGUUGCUAAUACAUUUUUGGAAUGGGGUCAAGGUAGAAGAGUGAAAAUGACACAGGUAGGGGGAUCUCGAGAAGAGAUGGGGAUUGCU